rnacentral:rRNA from 1 species
AUUGAACGCUGGCGGCAGGCCUAACACAUGCAAGUCGAGCGGAUGAAGGGAGCUUGCUCCUGGAUUCAGCGGCGGACGGGUGAGUAAUGCCUAGGAAUCUGCCUGGUAGUGGAGGAUAACGUCCGGAAACGGGCGCUAAUACCGCAUACGUCCUGAGGGAGAAAGUGGGGGAUCUUCGGACCUCACGCUAUCAGAUGAGCCUAGGUCGGAUUAGCUAGUUGGUGGGGUAAAGGCCUACCAAGGCGACGAUCCGUAACUGGUCUGAGAGGAUGAUCAGUCACACUGGAACGGGGACACGGUCCAGACGACUACGGGAGGCAGCAGUGGGGAACAUUAGACAGUGGGCGAAAGCCUGAUACAGCCAUGCCGAGUGUGUGAAGAAGGUCUUCGGAUUGUAAAGAACUUUAAGUUGGUAGGAAGGGCAGUAAGUUAAUACCUUGCUGUUUUGACGUUACCAACAGAAUAAGCACCGGCUAACUUCGUG